GUGCCAGCAGCCGCGGUAAUACGAAGGUCCCAAGCGUUGUUCGGAAUCACUGGGCGUAAAGCGUGUGUAGGCUGCGCGGAAAGUCAAAUGUGAAAGCCCGGGGCUCAACCUCGGAACUGCAUUCGAUACUCCCGUGCUAGAGUAAUGGAGAGGUAAGUGGAAUUCCUGGUGUAGCAGUGAAAUGCGUGGAUAUCAGGAGGAACAUCAAUGGCGAAGGCAACUUACUGGACAUUUACUGACGCUCAGACACGAAGGCUAGGGUAGCGAAAGGGAUUAGAUACCCCUGUAGUCCUAGCAGUAAACGGUGCUCGCUUGGUGUGGGAGGAUUCGACCCCUUCUGUGCCGGAGCUAACGCGUUAAGCGAGCCGCCUGGGAAGUACGGUCGCAAGACUAAAACUCAAAGAAAUUGACGGGGACCCGCACAAGCGGUGGAGUAUGUGGCUUAAUUCGAUGCAACGCGAAGAACCUUACCUAGGCUUGACAUGCUUGUCGUACUCUCCCGAAAAGGAGAGGUCACUUCGGGUGGACAAUGCACAGGUGCUGCAUGGCCGUCGUCAGCUCGUGUCGUGAGAUGUUUGGUUAAGUCCAGCAACGAGCGCAACCCCUGUGAACUGUUGCCAGCGCGUAAAGGCGGGGACUCUGUUCAGACUGCCCAGAUCAACUGGGAGGAAGGUGGGGACGACGUCAGUCAGUAUGGCCCUUACGCCUAGGGCUGCACACGUACUACA
rnacentral:rRNA from 1 species